CAAGGGGUUACAUUUAGAAUAAAAUCCAAAUUCACUACCCUGUGUUGUGGGUUGAACCGUGUCCUUCCCCAAAGGUGCCCCAGCCAGGCUGAAGUACCAUGGUUCAUCUGCCUUUGUAUGGAUGCAGGGGUGGGUUCACCAAUAUUACUGUGAAACUAUGAAAACAAAGCAAAGCGGAACAAAGGUUUCUGCCUUGCAGCAUUUGUUAACAUACAGCCAUGUUGACACACUUUUUAAUCUGUCAGCAGACAAACCUUGGAAGGUAGCCCACACUGUCCGUGAGUUAACUUGCUUUUGUUCACUGAAGUGGAACUAUUAAUUCAUUGGAAGGGAUGUGUAUCAGCACAGCUUUGAAAAGACAGUGGCGGUGUGCGGCCUUGCAGCGUCCUGGGUGACCCCCGGGGAAGAGGAGAUGGAUCGAGGUGGUGGCUGUUGUUAGGAUGGUGCUCUGGAUUCUCUAGGUGCCUGUCCUCGGGGCUUUAGAGCCGAUAAGGCAGCAGAAGCUGGAGCCGUGGUUGUUUACAGUGGACACUGGAGACUGUGCAGAAAAGAGGCUGAAGAGAUCGACACUUGUUCAAAUUUACACUAUGUGUUGGAAGUGGAAUUAGGACAAGAAUCCGGGUCACUGAAGUAAACUCUAGGUCCACCAGUCUUUCUCCUCCACCAUAGGAUCUGUAGUGAUCAUUUGCAGUCAGAGAUCACCUUGCAGAAAGAUUCAAAGAAGCUACCGAUUCACCAGUGACUCAAAGGUACAUACUGCAAACAUGACCAUAGAUAUUAUGUAGCAAUGGGAAAUGCUUCUGCGGUUUUGGAGACCUGUCUUCCACCUUCUUGCUACCUGGAUUGCAGGUGUAGCAGUGGAACUUCAGAGCCAUCUUGGACCCAGAUGUAAACUUGGGAACGAAAGCCACACACCGCUGAACAAUGAGAAAACUGAAGUUCAUUAGCAUCUAGGCAAGUCCUGACGAAGGUCGUGCCACUGGUAAACAGUGGAAUCAGGAUUUGAAUUCAGGUCUGGACUCUUUGUAUUCUGUCUGUGUGUCGGUUACAACCUUACUGUGGAGACUCAGCCGUGAAAGCAGAAGGAGGUGGAAGGUUAGCGGAAGCUGGAGAGGAAAAAAGGUGAAGAUCUUUUGAAGUUUUCCUGCUCAGCCAGGAAAACAUGGCUGCAGUUAUCAGUAACAGAAACUGUGAACAUAAUGAAUGAAAACAUGAGCCUCUACUGACAGAGAAGUCCAUUCUGCAACAUCUCUGGUGUGACAUCCAGUUCUGUCCCAUAGCACCUGAGUCUGUGUCUCAUCUCUGUCCCUGGUUAUCCGAGGAGCCUUAGCCCACUUCAUCUCUCUAAGCCCUUGCUGAAAAAUAGCCAGCCUUGUAGGUGUCACAUGAGAGCAAUUUUGAAUGGUGUAGACGACAGCAGUCUGGAAACUAUAAAAUGCUCUAAAGAUUUAAGAUACCAGCUACCCUACAGAUACUCAUUCUCUACCGAAUUGCCCAAAAUAUAUAAAGUAACAGAAGAAUCUGAAACUAUUUGAGGAGCUCUAAUCCCAGUGGUAGUGAAAAUUCUUUCCCUGGCAGGGUAGGGACUGUCUUCUCUGCUCCCACAGUAUCUUGGGAGAUACCCACUGAACUGUGUCUCUUUGCAUGUCUGCUUUCCCUACUCUAGAACAAGGAUCAACCGUGGUCAUCUUUUUAGCCACAGUGCUUAACAUUCAACUUGGCACACAACAAGCACUCAAUAAAUGUUUAAGAGUGUGGGUAAUGUUUCCUGAGGAUGUAUUCUAGGUCACUGUUUGAGCACCUUACAUACAGAAGUAUGCAGGAAAUAUUGCGAGUUCAGUUCCAGACGACUGCAAUAAGGCCAAGCACACAAAUUCUUUCUGGUUUCCCAUGCAUAUAAAAUUUAUGUUCACACUGUUCUGUAGUCUCUUAAGUGUGUAAUUGCAUUAUGUCUGAAAAAAUAAUGUACACACACACCUUAAUUAAAAAAAUACUCUGCUAAAAAAUGCUAACCAUCACCUGAGCCUUCAGCGAGUUGUUAUCUUUUUGUAAUAGCUGCAUCACAGAUCACUGAUCACAGAUCACCAUCACAAAUAUAAUAAUAAUGAAAAAGUUUGAAAUAUUGCAAGAAUUACCAAAAUGUGACCCAGAGACAUGAAGUGAGAGAAUGCUGUUGGAAAAGUGGUACCAGUCAACUUCUCGACACAGAGUUGACAAAUUUUCAAUUUGCAAAAAAAAAAAAAAAAUGAUGUCUAUGAAGUACAGUAAAGCAAAGUGUAGUGUAAUAAAAUGAAGUAUGUCUGUAUAUUAAUUCAUUUAAUCCUUCCAAUAAUAAAAUUCUCAUUUUGUCGUUGAGGGAACUCAAGUCCAGGGAAUUAAAUAACCUGCUUAAAGUCAUGUGGUCAUUAGUCAUCACUUGAGACUGCUCCUAACUGCUGCUAUGCUUUCCUGCCUUGAAGACAUUAAUACUCAUUGCUGAAAUCUAGACAGUAAAGGCAAAGAUGGCUAUAAGAAAAAUAUUAUUUCCUUUAUGAUUUUCUGUAUAAUCAUAAUUCUGCCAUCUAAACUAGAGGUAACUACACCUCACAUGUCUCCGCA
ensembl:lncRNA